rnacentral:lncRNA from 1 species
UGCAUGCCUGUGGUCCCAGCUACUCAGGAGGCUGAAGUUAGAGGAUCUCUUGAGCCCAGGGGGUCGAGGCUUCAGUAAGCUGUGAUCAUGCCACUUACAAAACUUUUAAACCUAGUCUCAAAAAAACUUAAAAAUUCAAACAUUUUAAAAACUAAGUUUAAAAGUUUUAUAAUGGCUGGGCAUGGUGGCUCACACCUGUAAUCCCAAUACUUUCAGAGGCUGGGGUGGAUCACUUGAGCCCAGGGGUUGGAGGCUUUGAGCCCAGCCACAUCUUUUUCUUUUCUUUUUUUUUUUUUUUGGAAUUAACAGUCUUUACUGGGCUCAGACCAGGAGUCCGUGGGUCUUGAGGACCUCUGUGUGUUUGUCAAUUUUCUUCUCCACGUUCUUAGCCUGUUUCCGUAGCCUCAUGAGCUGUUUCUUCUUCCAGUAGAGGAUCAGGGCCUUUUCCUUCCUUUUCUCCAGGGUAGCUGUCACUGCCUGGUACUUCCAGCCAACCUCGUGCGCCAGGCGCCCCAGACAGGCAAACUUUCUUGUCGGCUUCAGACGCACGACCUUGAGGGCAGCAGGAACCACCAUCCGCUUUUUCUUGUCGUAGGGCAGUGGGAUGCCGUCAAACACCUGGAGGCGGUCCAGGGCGGCCUGGCCCCGCUUGGUCUUGUGGGGCAGCAUGCCUCGCACCGUCCACCAGAAGAUGCAGCUGGGGGUCCGGAAGUGGCAGGGGCCUCGCGAAGGGUUGGUGUUCAUCCGCUUGCAGAGGAAAGCCAGAACAUAAUAAGUAUCUGGAGUCUGUGCCACUGUGAUUUGAACAAGCAAGAACAUGAAGUUACUUCUGUGACCCAAAGGCCUCAUAUUUUCAAAGAUGCUAUAAUUAUAGUCCAGCUGCGUUCUACCCUCAGGAAAGAGUCUUGCAGAUUCCGCAACUGUCAAAUGAGGGGCUUGGGCUACAAUCACUCAGUGUUAUCCUUCUAUGAUUCGUUUUUGUAACCAUCAGUGUGAUUUAAAAGUGUACAUUAAGCAGAUGGACACACACUAAAAAAAAUAUGAACAAUUAUAAAUAAAAAAUGUUAGUAAUUGGUAUCUUUGGGUAACUGAGUCAUAUUUAUAUUUUUUCUUCUUUUUGCUUAAGUAUAUACCUUUUCGUUUUUUUCCUCUCUUUUCUUUCUCAUCUUUA